GAACGCACCUUGCGCUCCUUGGCAUUCCGAGGAGCAUGCCUGUUUGAGUGUCGUUGAAUUCUCAGAACCCUCCUCACAGGUGGGUUUGGAUUGGUGGAGGAUGCAUUGGACUUGGACCUUUUGGCUCCCAUUGCUUUGCUUCUCUGAAAUGGAUCGGCCUUACGGCUGCGCCACGAACCUUGUCGUCGGUAUGAUAAUGUCUUACCUGCUUCUAACCCGUGCCAACCCGGCCCAGACUCUCUAUCUAUCUACAAUUUGACCUCAAAUCAGGCAGGACUACCCGCUGAACUUAAG
rnacentral:misc_RNA from 1 species